rnacentral:rRNA from 1 species
AGUGAACGCUGGCGGUAGGCCUAACACAUGCAAGUCGAACGGCAGCACAGUAAGAGCUUGCUCUUACGGGUGGCGAGUGGCGGACGGGUGAGGAAUACAUCGGAAUCUACUUUUUCGUGGGGGGUAACGUAGGGAAACUUACGCUAAUACCGCAUACGACCUACGGGUGAAAGCAGGGGAUCUUCGGACCUUGCGCGAUUGAAUGAGCCGAUGUCGGACUAGCUAGUUGGCGGGGUAAAGGCCCACCAAGGCGACGAUCCGUAGCUGGUCUGAGAGGAUGAUCAGCCACACUGGAACUGAGACACGGUCCAGACUCCUACGGGAGGCAGCAGUGGGGAAUAUUGGACAAUGGGCGCAAGCCUGAUCCAGCCAUACCGCGUGGGUGAAGAAGGCCUUCGGGUUGUAAAGCCCUUUUGUUGGGAAAGAAAAGCAGUAGGUUAAUACCCCGCUGUUCUGACGGUACCCAAAGAAUAAGCACCGGCUAACUUCGUG